rnacentral:rRNA from 1 species
CGAACGCUGGCGGCGUGGAUAAGACAUGCAAGUCGAACGGGGCAUUUCAGGUAGCAAUAUUUGAGAUGUUCAGUGGCGAACGGGUGCGUAACACGUGGAUAACAUUCCGGGAAGCGGGGGAUAGCCCAGGGAAACUUGGAUUAAUACCGCAUGUGGUCGAGAGACUAAAGGUGGGGACCGCAAGGCCUGCCACUUCCCGAUUGGUCCGCGGCCUAUCAGCUAGUUGGUGAGGUAAUGGCUCACCAAGGCUACGACGGGUAGCUGGUCUUAGAGGACGACCAGCCACACUGGAACUGAGACACGGUCCAGACACCUACGGGUGGCAGCAGUCGAGAAUCUUUCACAAUGGGGGCAACCCUGAUGGAGCGACGCCGCGUGGAGGAUAAGGUCUUCGGAUUGUAAACUCCUGUCAUGCGAGAACAAGGUAGUCAGGUUAAUACCCUGUAUUGAUGACGGUACCGUAAGAAGAAGCACCGGCUAACUACGUGCCAGCCGCCGCGGUAAUUC